UCCGGAGGGCGGAGGCACUCGCAAUGAGGAGACUGGUGUCGAUAACGAUAAAAUGGGUUGAGGGAAAAGCGAGAAAAAAAUCGAGUUUUUGCAAUGUUGUCCGCUUGUUUGAUGCAUCAUCAACCUUCGCGAUUUACAUGGCUAACUGGAUUUUUUCGGCAUUUUUCC
ensembl:ncRNA F15B9.13 ncRNA